UGAACGUGUGCUGUUUACCCAGGUUUCAGUUUGCAUCCCUAUCCGUUGGAUUAGAAAGGCUUGAUAGGGAUAUCGGUCCAACCACAAUAAAGAAGAAAAGAGAAAAACGAGGGAUUGGUUUGUGAGAUUGCCCUUUUUCCUUUUCAUGUCAGCUAUCUGUAGAUAUCAGCUGCCUGCCAAGUGAAUGUACCAUCACUUCCUAUCUCCAUGCUCUAUCUAAUAUACUAUGUAAUAAGCUAAAUAUGUGGUAUAUGUGUUUUUGGCGUCUAUAAAAACAUGCUGCCAUGUUUGUGCUAUCAUAUAUAUAUAUAUAUAUAUAUACUCUAGCUUAUCUAUGACCUUUUGAAUGAUAUCCUAGCCAUUUUCUGAAGCAACUUUCGCAGGCAAUAUGCGAAAAACAUGGUGUUAAGAUCUAAAAAUUUGAUGGUAAGGGUGAAAGUGCUAUGGCAUUUGGUUCAUAUAGAAUAUUUCUGAAAUGAUUCUUCUAGCGAUUGAUCAUAUUAUUCAUAUGGAAACAUGAACGAUAUGCAGAGACCGACCGGGAGGCGGAUAUCCUUGCGGCUGAUGUUAUUUGAUAAUGGCCUGUGUGAUGUGUGAAGGCUCCUCUAGCCUUGAGGUUUUACUUUAAAGUUUUAGAAGGAUGGGUCGUUAAUCAUUUCCUUUUUUUGAAACUAUAUGAAUGGUGAAAGGUCUAAAUCAUUUGAUUUUGAUCGGUGGCGGUGCAUUUCGUCGUGGCUUAUACAAUUCAUCCCUCAUUUCGACGAAAGGCAUUAUGCAAUCAUUCAUUUCGAAUCAUCAAAAUUGCAUUUGGUUUGGUUACAUUUAGCGAUGAUCUCAAAGCUAGAGGUCUCCAAACCACAAAGUUUCCACAGGCUGUUAACCCAAACAAACAAGAAGAUAAAAACUAAAUUGUUCAGAAAGAAAAUGUCAUUAUGGGCUUAAACCGACUUCACUGGAACAUGCGUUUUCUCAAGACACAGAACACGACAGAUACACAACGUCGUCUUAGCGAGCCUGAUUAAAGAGAGCUUAAGGCUUUUCUCUGACAAGCAAAAACAAGGCCAAAUGUGUGGAAGUGUCAUCCCAAGAACUACUUACUAUAUAUUAUUAAACCGUUUUCUUUCUUUCUAUUCAAAAGAAGAAGGUAAGCUGGUUUUUAGUCUUGGGGUUUCUGCUUGUUUACGGUAACCUCAUGCUUUGAUCAGGAAGUACGGGUUGAUGGGCUGCAGGCAGCGCUGCCGUAGAAAUGCGAAGGAAACUGGGGUUUAUUUAGUUGCAGGCAUCCAUAUUGAGCUUUAUUCCUUGGCUGCUGCUUGAUCCUGCGGCAAGUAACCAAGCUGGCAGUGUGGAGCUGUCAGUUUCAAGAAAUUGCAACCCAUGGUUACAGCUUACAAAAAUACCUGGAUUUUAUGCACAGCUAUCUAAUUGGGCCACCAGUAUUAUUUUCAGUUAUUGUAUUUUUCAAUUUUAUUCAAUUUAGU